rnacentral:lncRNA from 1 species
AGUCAAUAACAUAACAUUAAUUUAGUGUUCUAAAACAAAAACUAAGAACUACUUGGUGGAUUACCGGACGGAUUGAUUUGUUUCAUAAAGGCUGCCAAUUGUCGUUGCACUUGCAAUUCCAUUUCAUUUCGCAUUUGUUGCAUUUGCAAAUUCAUUUCACUUUGCUUUUCAUCCAUGGCUUGUUGCAUGUUUGACACUUGUUGUCGCAACUCAUUUACCUAAAUAUAGCAAGACAAACACAUGCAGUUAGUAAAUGUAAUUCAACUUUAAACCAUGAUAGCAAUGUACUUUACUUUUAAUUUCAUCUAUAAUUAAUCAAAGAAGGAUAAAAUUUUCAAUUAAUACAUGAAUAUUAGAAUAAUACUAAAUUCAUAGAAUGAAUAUUUGGAAUUGAGUGUCCUCUUAGUAUCAAUUCUUUUGAAACUAAAUAGUAGUAGCCUACAUAUAAUCUGUUGAUGAAAUUGUAGACUUGGUUGAAACUAAAUGACAUUAAUUUUGACAAAACCAAUUUUGAAAACAUUAAAAGAUUAGCAUUAUAAAAUGAAUCAUUUACAUCAAAAACUAAAAGCUAAAAAAAAAAUAUUUGAGUAAUUUAUGGUAGCCAAAAAUAGAUGCACAUGCUACUGAUGCAUGAUUCUCCCAAAAGAAAAGGACAUUGACAAGCAUUAACACAUACAUGAAUGAUAUUAGUUUCCUAAGCAUUUGUAGGCAUUUAUGAUGAAGUCGGUUUCAUUUGCUAGUUAUUACGGGGGUAGUAUUUUCUUGAGAAUCUCUUGUGGAUAUAUAAUAUAACAAGUAUUAAGAUACGGCUUACUUUUUGUUGGUUAGUCUUAUGAAUGCCAUCUUCUAUAAAACAAAACGUUUAUGCUUUUAGGAAGAACUAUGUACAUAUUUAUAUUCCCUGAAACUAGAAAGCUAUGUUAGUCUUUUAAAGCAUGCCAAUCUUUCAACAAAAAGUCAAACAAAAAACAAUAUAACCUACCACAAUAUAAAGUAUAUACUAAUACACAUCUAUUAGAAAGGUCUAGAGCAUCAAGGGUAAAAUCGUCCAAAUAGGCAAAAUUUCAAAGAUUUACAAGGGAGACACAUUUUCAAAUCCAAACAACCAAAACUGAGGCUAACAGGAAAAUUCCGUCCCAAAUAGGAGAAUACUUCCAUUACAGAUCUUGGACAGGGUCACAGAAUUCAGAAGAGGAAAGGGUAUCUAAUUUGGAUCUUAACUUGAGCUCUGCACAUGGACAAGUUACAACUAUUGCUGCAAAACUGCUGCAUACUGAUGAUUCAAGUUCUAUGGGUCUAAAUUAGUGAAAUCUACUGCAAUGGAGAAGUUACAAGUAUGGAAAGCAAAGCUGAAAAAGACACUUGAAAUCACAAAAACUGAAAUUGAUUCUCCAGGGGCAAAAUUUGUGAAAUGUGAGCAAACUGAAAUCGACAUACAUACAUACCUGGGGUGUCGCUGAUGGUGGUGUGAGCAGUGACGGUUGUAGUAUGGUGCAGCGAUGGUGGUGGUACGGGGCAACAUCGGCGGUGGUGUGCGACAGCGACGUUGGAGGGCAAACCUGCAACCGUUUUGGUCAAUGUGGGUCGCCGAUAUGAGCUGAAAUCAGAGUUCGGAAAUCACAAAACUCGAAUUGGUUGCUUGAAAUCAGUCGAGAAUCACCGGUGGAUGUGUGCUGCAGCAGGGGUUCCGAAAUCGCCAAGCAAGGGUUUUAUUUGGGUAACAAAAAAAAUGGUCAUUCCUACAUUGUGAAAAUGUGCUUCGAAAUCGUACCUGGGGUGUCGCCGCUGGUAGUGUGGGGCAGCGACGGUGGUGGUAUGGUGCAGCGACGGUGGUGAUACGGGGCAGCGUCGGCGGUGGUGUGCGACAACGAUGGUUGGUUGGCAAACCUGCAACAGUUUGGUCAAUGUGGGUCGCCGAUCGAUUGUUUGGAAAUCAUAGAAGUCGAAUAGGUUACCAAAAAAUGUCGCCGAUGUACGUAUCAGUCGAGAAUCACCGGCGGAUGUGUGCUGGUUCGGAAAUUGCCAAUCGCUGGUGUAAGCUAGGGCUUUGUUUGCGACGAGCUAGUUACGAAUAGUGAAGCGGGAAACAAUUUGGGUUUUAGGAGGCGUAGCAAAUCGGUAGCAUAUGGAAAUCGUAGGAAUUUCGUAGGUAUAAACAAAUUGGGAAAUUGAUGUAUAAUAUUAUAAUUAAAUAUAAU